rnacentral:rRNA from 1 species
ACUCCUACGGGAGGCAGCAGUGGGGAAUAUUGCACAAUGGGGGAAACCCUGAUGCAGCGACGCCGCGUGAGUGAAGAAGUAUUUCGGUAUGUAAAGCUCUAUCAGCAGGGAAGAAAAUGACGGUACCUGACUAAGAAGCCCCGGCUAACUACGUGCCAGCAGCCGCGGUAAU